AAUCAACGCUGGCGGCGUGCCUCAGACAUGCAAGUCGAACGCGAAAGUUUCCUUCGGGAGAUGAGUAGAGUGGCGCACGGGUGAGUAACACGUGAGUAAUUUACCUUCGGGUGGGGAAUACUAACCGGAAACGGUUGUUAAUACCGCAUAAUGCAGCGGCAUCAAUGAUGACAGUUGUUAAAGCGGGGGAUUGGAGCAAUCCGACCUCGCGCCUGAAGAGAAGCUCGCGGCAGAUUAGCUAGUUGGUAAGGUAAUGGCCUUACCAAGGCGACGAUCUGUAACCGGCCUGAGGAGGGCGGGUCGGUCACACUGACACUGAAUAACGGGUCAGACUCCUACGGGAGGCAGCAGUCGGGAAUUUUGGGCAA
rnacentral:rRNA from 1 species